AGAGCUUGAGAGUGGAACCCUCUGGUGCUUUCCGGCGAGCUUGUUAGCCGCAUGAACUUUCUGGUCACAAGCCCAACACAGAGCCGCCUCGUCCGCACAGCAAAGAACGUUGGCCUCCGCAGUCUGGCACCCAUUGCACUAGGAAGAGAAUGAAGAGAGAGAAGGUAUACGAAGCAAGCUCUGUUAAUCGUCGUCGUUGUGUUGCCGGGGGGUUUUAAGGGAAAACUAGGAAUGGUUGGAGGGCAUUUUCGUCAUUUUGUUAACCGAUUGCCGGUUUUCAAUGUGUCGUAUUGUCGUUGUGGCGCGUGCCGCGCAUGCGUCGGCAACCGUAUAUUUGCGAGAUCAUGAUAUUAUUCGGUGUGGUGGAUGGGUAUGUCAUCAUCUUGGCGUCAUAUAUGUUUUAAUAUUUCUUUAUUGUAUCUUUUUUCCAAUUUUAUGUUUAAAAUAUUUAAUUUAAUAUUAGAAUAUAAAUUAUUAUUUUUUUAA